GACGAACGCUGGCGGCGUGCUUAACACACGCAAGUCGAACGGAAAGGCCCUGCUUUUGUGGGGUGCUCGAGUGGCGAACGGGUGAGUAACACGUGAGUAACCUGCCCUUGACUUUGGGAUAACUUCAGGAAACUGGGGCUAAUACCGGAUAGGAGCUCCUGCUGCAUGGUGGGGGUUGGAACGUUUCGGCGGUUGGGGAUGGACUCGCGGCUUAUCAGCUUGUUGGUGGGGUAGUGGCUUACCAAGGCUUUGACGGGUAGCCGGCCUGAGAGGGUGACCGGCGACAUUGGGACUGAGAUACGGCCCAGACUCCUACGGGAGGCAGCAGUGGGGAAUAUUGCACAAUGGGCGGAAGCCUGAUGCAGAAACGCCGCGUGCGGGAUGACGGCCUUCGGGUUGUAAACCGCUUUCGCCUGUGACGAAGCGUGAGUGACGGUAAUGGGUAAAGAAGCACCGGCUAACUACGUG
rnacentral:rRNA from 1 species